rnacentral:tRNA from 1 species
GGUGCAGUGGCGUAGCAGGUUAAAGCCCUGGCCUGCAGCACCAGCAUCCCAUAUGGGCACUGGUUCGAGUCCAGGCUGCACCA